rnacentral:rRNA from 1 species
UAAUUUUAGAUUAGAUAAGAAUAUUUGUUAAACUUAAGCAUAUUAAUAAGUGAAAAAAAAAAAUUAACAAAAAUUAUUUUAGUAAUAGUAAAUAAAGUGGUAAAAACUUAAAUUUAAAAUCUGGAAUCUUCGACUUCCAAGUUAUAAUUUAAAAAAAGUAUUUUAAUUACAACCCUAGUCUAAAUUCCUUAGAAUAAGAUAUUAUGAAGAGUAAAAAUCUUGUAUAUGGUUGAGGGCUUGUUUCUAUAUGAAAUUUUUUUGAAGAGUUGAGUUAUUUAGGAAUGUAAUUUAAAAUGGGUGGUAAAUUUUAUCUAAAGUUAAAUAUUAACAGAAAACCAAUAACGCAUAAGUAGAAUAAUUGAAAGAUGAAAAACAUUUUAAAAAAAAAUUAAAUAAUACAUGAAAUUAUUAAAAAAAAAGUAUUUAUAAUUAAACUCGUUUUUGAUUAAUCAACAUUUUUUUUGGUUUGUGUACUUUGCUGUUUGUAAACCAGUAUUAAUUGGGGCGGUGGGAUAAAGGCGAUAAGAAUAUAGCUUCCCUUAGGGAAUAUUAUAACCCAUUAUAUUAUACUAUUAAUCCCAACUAAGGUUUGCGGUUUGUUUAGGAUACUAAUUUAAUAAUUAUAAACAAUUUAUCUUAAAAUACAGAUUAAAAAGUUUAAUAUUUAUAUAAGUCUUUAGAUGUUAAAUCUAUAAAUAUAAUAAAAGUAAAUAGAAAUAGAAAUUUUUGGAUAUAUUAUUAACUAAUCUUAAUAUUUUUAAAUAAAUUUAAAUAUAAAUAUAGUUGUUAAAAUUUAAAAGAUGGUAAACUAUACUUGAAUAAAGUAAAAUUAAAGAAAAUUUUAGUAGAGGUUUGCAAUAGUUUUAAUAUAUAAAUUAAUUAUCAAAUUUAGAUAUAAAAGCAAAAGAUUAAUUAAACUAUCUAAUAAUUGGUUUUUGUUAAAGUUUCCCUUAAAAUAAUAAUAAUAUUUUUAGUUUUAUAAAAUAAAGUAAAUAAUUAAAAGUUUUAGGGUUGAAAUAAUUUUAAUUUAUUUUUAAAUUUUAAAUAUAUAAAAAAAUUUUAUUACUUAAUUAAAUAUGGAUAUUUAAAUAUAUUAUUAUUAAUAGGCUAUUUUUAAUAAGUAGAAUUGGUAAUGUAAAAUAAACCAAAUAUAGGGUUAAAAUAUUAGAAUACAUGUUUAUUAGAUAUUAUAAAAGGUGUUAAUUUAUUUAGAUAGUAAAAUAAUAGCUAUAGAAAUUGGAAUUUGUUAAAAAAUAUAUAAUAAUUUAUUUAUUAAAUAAAUUAGCUCUAAAAAUAGAUAAUAUUUAAGUAUGCUAUUUAUACCUUAUUAUUAAAAUAAAAACCAAGUCUUAAUGAGUAAAUAGACAUAGAGGUUAAUAAUAAAGUUUUAAAGAUAAUUUUGGGUAGAAUAAUUUUUAAUACAAAUUUUGGUAAUAAUAGUAAAUAUUUAAAUAAGAAUUUUAAAGAUUAAAAUAGGAAAAGGUUUUAUAUAAAUAGUAAUUAAAUAUGGGUUAAUUAAUUUUAAAGUAUAGAGAAAUUUUGUUUUAAAGUUUAUACUUGUGAUAUUUGUUAAAAAAAAGUUAAUUAAUAUUUUGGUAUUUGGAUAUAGAUUUUAUACAAUAAUGUAAAUAAAUUUAAAAACACAAAUAAAAGCUUUAAAAAAAGUUUUCUUUUCUUUUUAAUAAUUUAUUAUUUUAAAAUUAAUUUAUCCGAAAUUAAAGUUUAAUAACUAGUAGAGUUUAGCAUUUUUAUUAAAUCUAAUAUACUCCUAAUUAUUUUUAAAAAUUUAAAGGAAGGAAUAACUUUUAUGCUAAAUUAUAUUUAUAAUUGUAGUAGAUCUCUAAGAUGAAAAUUUUUUUAAUUAAUAAAACAAUAUAAAUAAAAAAAGUUGACAAAAUAAAUUUGUAAUUUUGGGAAAAAGAUUAACUUUAAAAGUUAGGUAUGUUGGGUUUUAAGUGGAUCCUAUUGGAUUAACUUAAUUCUAGUCUUAUAAUCGGAAUUUUGCAAAAUUAUUUAAAAAAUGCUUUUAACAAAUUUUGGCUAUCCAAUGUACGUUUAAUAAUUAACUUAGAAUUAAUACAAACAAGGGGAAUUUAAUUAUUUAAUUAAAAUAUAGUAUUAUAAUAGUUAGAAAGUGGUGUUGACAUAAUAUAAUUUUUAUUUAAUAUUUUAAAUAUUAAAGUAAAAAAAUUUAAUUAAGUAUAAAUAAAUAACAAAAAUAAUUAUAAUUUUUUUAAAAUAGUUAAAUGCUUUGUUAUUUAAUUAGUAAUAUAUAUAAAUGGAUUAAUAAAAUUUUUAUUAUCCCUAUCUACUAUCUAGUAAAACCAUAACUAAAAAAACAAGUUUAGUAAAAAUAAUAGAAAAAGAAAACUUUAUUAAAUUUAAUUUUAAUUUAAUAUUAUAAAAAAAUAUAUAAGAUAUAGAAUAAAAGGGAGCUUUAAUGUUAGUAAAAUAUUUUUAUUUAUAUUAUUUUUUUAUUUAUUUAUUAAAGUGGAGUUAGGUUUUAUUGUUUAAUUUUUAGUAUUAAAAUCCUUUGUGGGCUAAUUUAAAAUAAAAAUAUUAUUAAAUAGGGAGUUUGGUUAAAGCAAUACAUUUAUUAAAUUAUAAUACAAAUAUUUUAAAAAGGGCUUAUAAAGAACAGAAAUUUUUAAUAAAACAAAAGAGUAAAAGCCUUUUUAAUUUUAAUUUUUAAUAUAAAUACAAAUUAUAAAAGUAUAGCCUAUCAAUUUUUUAGUCCCUCAAAAUUUAAAAUUAAAAAUAUUAAAAAAAUUAUUAUAAAAAUAAUUAGCUUAUGGCAGCUAAAUAUUUAUAAUAAUAUUAUUUUUUAAUUUUUUAAUAUUAGCUCUUCCUAUUAUAUUAAAGUAAAAUUUAAUAAAUAUUAAAUUAUUUAUUUAUUAAAUUUUAUAUUUAUUUUAUAAUAUUAAAUAUCUUAUUAAUAGAAAUAGUUGGGGAAAUUUUGACUAAUUGAGAUAAGAUUUUAUAAUAAAGCUUAUUUAAUAAAAUAAUUUAAUUUAGAAAAGGUUUUAAAAUAUUAAUUUUAAGUAAACUUUAAUUUAUAUAAAAUGUAAAAAAAUAUUAGUUAAUUUAUAAGUUAGUUUAAAAAAUAUAUUAUUUUUUAGGGAAAUUUGGCCUAAUUGAUAAGGACUUAUUAUCUGAGUCAUUAAUGAGCUAAGUAUUAAAUAGAAAAUGAUUUAAUGUAUGUGGAUAUUACCAAAUAUAGUGAAAUUGUUUAGGUUAGUAAAAUAGAAUAGGGAAUAUAAACUAAGUUUAAACUAUUAUAAGAUAAAUUAAUUUUAUUUUAUUAUUAAUCGUUAUUGUAAUAGUAAUUUAACUUAAUAUAAAAGGAACUGUUAAUUUAGAUAAUUGGUUUUUGUGGUUAUCCAAUAGAAUAUUAUUAUGAAACUAUUAUUUAUUAAAUUAUAAUUAAAUGUCUUUAAGUCAGAAUCUAUAUUAGAAUAUAAUAAUUUUUAUUUUUAUAUAUUUAUAUUUGUAUAAGAAUAAACUUUGACUAUAUGUUAUAGUAGGCUAGCACCAAGUCUUUAAUUAAAUAAUUAAUUUCCUUAUUAGCGUAUUGCAAUUUAACUAUACAUAAGGAUAAAUUCCUUAUAGACAAUUAGAUUAUAAAAUAGGGUGCUAUAAAUAGUAAAAUAGUUUUAUUAUUAUAAUUUGCUAAAAUUAAACCUUUGUUUUUAAAAUUUAU